GAUGAACGCUGGCGGCGUGCCUAAUACAUGCAAGUCGAGCGAACAGAUGAGGAGCUUGCUCCUCUGACGUUAGCGGCGGACGGGUGAGUAACACGUGGAUAACCUACCUAUAAGACUGGGAUAACUUCGGGAAACCGGAGCUAAUACCGGAUAAUAUAUUGAACCGCAUGGUUCAAUAGUGAAAGACGGUUUUGCUGUCACUUAUAGAUGGAUCCGCGCCGCAUUAGCUAGUUGGUAAGGUAACGGCUUACCUAGGCAACGAUGCGUAGCCGACCUGAGAGGGUGGUCGGCAACACUGGAACAGAGAGACGGCCCAGACUCCUACGGGAGGCAGCAGUAGGGAGUCUUCCGAAAUGGGCGAAGGCCUGACGGAGCAACGCCGCGUGAGUGAUGAAGGUCUUCGGAUCGUAAAGAUCUGUUAUUAGGGAAGAACAAAUGUGUAAGUAACUAUGCACGUCUUGACGGUACCUAAUCAGAAAGCCACGGCUAACUACGUG
rnacentral:rRNA from 1 species